rnacentral:sRNA from 1 species
UGGCCUGUGAUACAGACCUAUUUAUGCACGACAUGAGAUAAAGCAGUUCCUCCUUAAGACGUUAUCUUCCGAUUCCGCUUGUCAGACGAACCACCUUCUUAGUGCCAUCCAUAAGUAUUGUUUCUGAGCUCGGCCCCUACGCCUUAGGGCAAAUUUAAUUAAGUUAUAAAGGUAAUACAAAUGACUAAGAAGACUGGUCAAGUAAAAUGGUUUAACGAAAGCAAAGGCUUCGGUUUUAUCGAACAGCACGAUGGCGGCAAAGAUGUAUUCGUACAUUUCUCAGCUAUCGCUAGCGAAGGUUUCAAAACUCUGGCUGAAGGCCAGCGUGUAGAAUACACCAUUCAGGACAGCCCGCGCGGGCCGGCUGCUGCGAAUGUUGUUGCUCUGUAAGAUUA